CGAAUCCUUGCCGCCAUUCCUCUCCGGUCCCAAUAACAGCUGCAUCGCACUUCCCGUCGCCGAAGGGUCCCUCGCCUAUCAAUUUCGUCGAUUUGCCUUCAGCUUGGCUAACGAAACUGCGGUCGAUUUGCAGAGCUGCUUCGUCAAUUUCCCUUAAGGAAGCAUAUCUUCUCCAGUUCAUUCUUUGGCAUUGGACCCAUAGUUUCUUUCUUCUCGUAAUUUUUUAAAAGUGCAGAAUUUUACCAUGAGGAAAUUGGAAGAGAAUGACCUCUUUCUCUGCGCCAGCAGCUUCUUUUUCAUCCACUCGAUGCAAGAGGCUUCUCCAUUCUCUUCCCUUGAUCAUGCAACUGCAUUCGCUCGAGAUUUAUGGUUCAACAAGUCGCCUAUAAGUUCAUGGCUGGAUGCAUUCUCCGCACAUAGGCACAUCGGUGAAGCUAUUAGUCGAGCGCCUAACGAACUUA